CCAGCCUUCCCAGGCCCGCCUUUCCGCGCCUCCCAACAUAUAAAAGCCCCCCGCCCCGUCCAGCCGACCUCCACUCGCCGCCGGCCUGCUAGCGCCCGCCCCUCGCAGGGGCUGGGCCCUGGACCCCAGGGGCGGGUGGUGUCGCCCCAGCCGGGCCCCGGCCCCCUCCCCCACAGCCCCGACAGUCGCCGCCGCCAUUUUGACCGCCCGCCCCUUCCCCCCGGACUAUGAUUACAGCGACACCCGCCGCCCGGGCCCCGCCACCCUCCCUGGCCGGGCCCGCCACCCCAGGGCCGCCCGGGUUACCUCGGCUUCUUCCUACUUCUGUCCGCAGAAGGGCUUUCCAGAGGUCUCGGAGGCGAUGCUGGGAGGGGCGCUCUGAUUCAUCGAUAUGAAUGCCCAUCAUAGGAAACUGAGCCCUCAAAGGCAGAAGAACCCAUCACUCCCGCAAGGAAGCAGCGGCCAAAGAAUAAAGGGGUGGGGUCUGUGAGGUUGGGAUUGGUUUGCGGCUGUAAAACCUGCCUUACGGUUCUGCUAAAGGGAUGUCAAUCUAUUCCAAAGGUUUGCCGCGCUCUGUAGCUGGGGACCGUGCGCAUGCGCGGCACGCAAGGCCAGCUGGGAGUAGUAGUCCGCUCUGCGUACUUUAAACGCCUUACCAACUAUAAAAGGCGAGAAAGGCAAGCUCUCUUC